rnacentral:rRNA from 1 species
AUAGCCUAACGCUGAACCAGCAACUUGAGAAAUGUAUAGCAAUAGCUACUUGCAUCAUUCUCAUGAUGAUGCAAGAUUGACUAUGUCGAAUAAAAUUCUAGGUAGAAUUAUGAUAAUGACAUUGUCUGCCUAUGUGUCUUGACCAAAUUACGUGCCAGCUGUCGCGGUAAUACGUAGAAGACUAGUGUUAUUCAUGUGUAAUCGGUUUAAAGGGUACCUAGACGGUAAAUCAAGCCUGCAAGAAAAAAAAGAGAUAGGGACUAAUUUAACUAGAGUUACUUACGAUGGGGCUUUAAUGUACUGCUGGUGUAGAGAUGAAAUUCUGUAAUACCUCUUUUCAAUAGAAAACUAAUGGCACAGAUAUAGGCGAAGGCAUCCCCGUAUGUGAUAACUGACGUUGAGGGACGAAGGCUUUGUGUAGCGAAUAGGAUUAGAGACCCUAGUAGUCGAAGCAGAAAACGAUGAAUGUCAUAGAUUAGAUAAGUAAGUAGUUUAUUCUAUAAAUGAAAGUGUAAGCAUUCCACCUCAAGAGUAAUUUGGCAACAUUGGAACUGAAAUCAUUAGACCGUUUCUGAAACCAGUAGUGAAGUAUGUUGUUUAAUUUGAUGAUCCGCAAAAAACCUUACCACAAUUUGAAUAUUUAUAUUUUUUUUAUUGUUUUUUUAUUAAUUUUCUUGUUUUCUUGUUUUCCUCACAAGAGUAUAAAACAAGAAAAAUAAUAAAAAGGAAAGUCAAUAAGAUAUAUUUACAAGCGUUGCACGGCUGUCUUCAGUUAAUGUCGCGAGACUAUGGUUAGUUCCAUUAAAUUAACGUAAACCCUUACUUUAUUUUUAUAUAAAGUAGUUCUCCGCUAUAUUGGAUAAGAUA